CAGGAAAUAAGAGGUAUGUCAGACCAGAGAUGGAUUGUGUUGCUAUAUGAGCUCAGCUUAUGGAUUCCUAAGUUGAACUUGGACAUUCCUACUAUGAGAAUGGGGUGUAACUAUUUCUGAUGUAGUAAUGCCCGUGUGGAGUGCACGAGAAGGAAAACUCCAUGGAAAUCUACUUGGUGGUUCAAGCCAUAAAAUAUGAAAUUGAAAACAAUUAAAGUUUACAUUUUCCAUUAUGAAGGAACUGAGUGUGAUGAAAAUGGAGUUGGCAUGCUGAGAGAAGUCAAUCAAAAAGAGAGAGGGACAGAGAAUCUUGUCCCAUUUUGCCUGCUCAUGUGGUUCAACCCUUCCUAUGGACUCUGCAGACUAAUUUGAAGGCCAUAAGUUCAAAAUCAGUGUGACUGAGCUGAAAUCAAGGUGUGAAAACAGCUGCACACCCUUCAGAGGCUCUCGGGGAGAAUAAGGCAUUGCCUAUUCCAGCUCCUGGCAGCUGCCGGCACUGCCCCACUCAUGGCCACAUCACUCCAACCUCUGCCUCCAUGGUCCCAUUGCCUCCUCCUCUUCUGUCUGUGUCAAAUGUCCUCUGUCUCUCAUGGAUACACAUAAUGGCAUUUUGGGACCACUGGGCUAACUCACAAUAAUCUCUCCCUUUCAAGAUAUUUAACUUAAUCACAUCUGCCAAGAUCCUUUUUUCCAAAUAAAGUCAACAUUUACAUAUCCCAGAGAAUGGGGUGUAAUAUCUUUUGGGGGGCCUGGGGGGACAUUCUUCUAAGGCUAAUGUACUCUUUAUUUGCUUAUUCAUCUGAGUUUAAUAUGCAUCUUGAGAGUGCAUCAUUCAGCCCCCUACAGAUGAAACAGUGACCAUCUAUGAGUGGUCAUGUGGUUAAAUAGGUAACUUCAGACCUAAUUCUUGGGAUAAUACCUGAACAGGAUCAGCACUCACUAAGCAUUAGCUUUUUCAUUGUUGUUCCUCAUAAGUCUCCCCAUGUCAGAUUUUCUUUCUCAGGAAAAACCAACCAAUAUGAAGCCUGAGAUCAUGUCCUGUCAAUUCUGUCCCCUUAACAUCUCAUUCUCAUUGACUUGAUUUCCACUCUCAGUGUCUCCAGGCUGAGAUAUUACAGCCUCCCAUCUUCAUCCUAUGCUCCUCCAGCACAUCCUUCCCACCUCUGCCAGAAUGCUGUGUCUAAAGUAAACACUGGUCCUGGCGGUCCUGCAUAUUGACAUUUAUUCCUUCCACAAACAAUAUUUAACCUAGUCUACGCUUGGCAUUGAGAACACAAAGAAAAUAAGGCAUAGCCUGAUUGGGGACGUUGUCAGACCACAAAUGUGUAGUAGGUGGAAAAAUGGUCCCUCAAAGACAUCACUUCCUAAUCCCUGGAAUCUGUGACUAUUACAUGAUAUUACAAAACAUGUGAUUAAGUGAAGGAUCUGGAGAAGAGACAUUUCCUGAAUAUCUAGAUGGGCCCUAAAUGCAAUCCUGUGUAUUCCUAUAAGGAGAAAGAUAGAGAAAGACUAGACAGAGACACAUGAACAGAAGAAAGUGAUGUGAAGAUGGAGGCAAAAAUGGAAGGGAUGCAGCCACAAGCCCAGGAAUGCCGGCUGCCAUCAGAAACAGGAAGAGGUAAGGUGUAGAUUCUACCUAGAGCUUCUGGACUGAGCAUGGCCCUGCCAACACCUUAGUUUUGAACUUCUGCCUUCUAGAACUGUGAAAGAGUCCAUUUCUGUUGUUGUAAACCACCAAGGUUGUGGUGAUGUGGUACGGCCAUCCUACACUAAUGCAGCCGGGCAGAAGCACAGAGGAGGAGGUGCUCACAGAGCCUCGAAGCAGCCUGCGUGGGGACAUACCAAUGCUCAGGAAAGGCUUCUUGGAGGAAGUGCUGUGUGAGCCGAAACUCUCCAUUUGAAUAGGAGCUAAUCCCAUGGGAAAGAAGGAAACACGCGUCCUGCAGGAUGCAAAGGGAGGAGAGAAAGAAUGAGGGGCUCAGGAAAUGAUUUGCAUUUGGUUCUGCUAGGAUUUUAUGUCGGAAGUGACCAACAGUGAAGCUCGAGACAAGGUUUGAAAUGGAUCACAUGGAGCAGUGUCUCCUUCCGUAAACAGCUGAGACUUUGUCCUGUAAGUGACAAAGCCAGUGAUGCUUCUGAAGCAGGACUCUAUUUAAAAUGGGAGCUCCAGGGUGGCCACACAGCAGUAGGAUAAGGUAGGUGAUGGGAAAACUAGUUAGAAAGUUGCAAGGACAGAGAGGAGGGUAGAGAUGACAAACUUUUUAGUUGAUAUCAUCAGUAGGAUUUUAGGGUUAUUUAGCUUGGGUGGAAAAGGGAUAGACUGAGAAAGGGAAGGAAGACAUUCAAGCUUCUGGCUUU
rnacentral:lncRNA from 10 species